rnacentral:rRNA from 1 species
AACGAACGCUGGCGGCAUGCCUAACACAUGCAAGUCGAACGAGACCUUCGGGUCUAGUGGCGCACGGGUGCGUAACGCGUGGGAACCUGCCCUUAGGUUCGGAAUAACACCCCGAAAGGGGUGCUAAUACCGGAUAAUUUCUUCGGACCAAAGAUUUAUCGCCUUUGGAUGGGCCCGCGUUGGAUUAGCUAGUUGGUAGGGUAAAAGCCUACCAAGGCGACGAUCCAUAGCUGGUCUGAGAGGAUGAUCAGCCACACUGGGACUGAGACACGGCCCAGACUCCUACGGGAGGCAGCAGUGGGGAAUAUUGGACAAUGGGCGAAAGCCUGAUCCAGCAAUGCCGCGUGAGUGAUGAAGGCCGUAGGGUUGUAAAGCUCUUUUACCCGGGAUGAUAAUGACAGUACCGGGAGAAUAAGCGCCGGCUAACUCCGUG